AGGGCUGGUGCUCUCGUUCAGAUAGAUUUAGCUGGUGGUGCAGAGAUCCGUGAGCUUGCUUUUACAGGACUUUAAUGAUAUAUAAAAGCAGCACGAGGUGCUCCUGACUGUGGAUUAAUUUGGAGAUGACUUUCUCUGUUGAAGAGUAGCAAGACUCUCGCGAGUUCUUAAAAAUGCACUUGUUUGGUAUGAGAAUGAAAAGCAGUGGCUGAAGAACCAAUCUUCAAUGGGCAAGCCUUCUCUGUGUCUGUUCUAACACGUGCCAUUUGGGAUCCCUUGGAAUCUUCAUGUACAGAACUGGUUGCUGCCUCGUUGAGUCGGUGGGGACAGAAUAGCUCCUGGUUGACAGCAUGGGUUGUGCAGAAGGACGGAUCCUGCAGACAUCAAUAUCUGGCUUUGAGUGGCACAAAGAAAUAAAGGAAUGUGGAUUCAGACCUCACUGGGAUGCUUGGCAAUUCUAAUUCUACCCCAGACUGCAAAUGGACACACAACUGUUGUGACUUUUGUUGAAGAGGAGAAGGAUGGUGAAGGUCUCUUUAGUCAAUAAUCUCUUUGCUGAAAUUGCUUCGGGCAGCACAGAAGCUGGAUUCAGAAGCACACAGGUCUGGGGAUGCAGGCUUCGGCCAGCCUGAUGCAAGGAAAGACUGCCAUCUCGUGGUCAGCUCAAUCCUGGCACCUUGGUGAGGGACCAGGCUGCAGAAAACCAGGCUUGGGGAGGAAACGGUGCUGCAAACUGGAUUUCUGCCGGACAGUGUGGAUGCCCUUAGAAAACACCCAGAAAAGAGCUGAGUGCCCCCCAAGACUUGCCCUGAAUUCUUUCAUGUGCAAUAUCCGAAAACCCUCUCUUGGGGCCUGGAUCAGGACCCCUUUCCUAUAACAUCUUUCUGGCGACAACAAAGGGACAAUGGUGUGGAAUCCCCCUUCCCAAAUGCUACUUUUAGGUAAGUAUUGGGGUCCUGUAACAUAUUUCUGGCAAACCAUGGAAUGGACAAUACUGAAGAAACUCGCCAACCCAAAGGAUAUAGACUGUAGCAAUGAUUGGACGACUCUGAGCAAGUGGUGGGGUACCUGGGUAAAGAAUCGGAUGGGAUUAGAGGCCCAACUGGGGGAGUUAGAGUCUCUCCCAAGCCAGAGUGGGUUAGAGGCCCCUCUUAGUGAAAGGCAAGGACGCUUGACCCACCUUGGGUUAUAGGCCC
rnacentral:lncRNA from 1 species